UAAUGGAUGCCACCCUCCCCGAGGAGCCCAGUGAUCACUUAAUAGGAGGAGCAAAUUUUAUCUCCAAACAACACUUGUACUUCAGGAAAAGUGAGUUCCAACAAGAGAGGGGGAAGAAGGAACCUGAGCGCGAUCGGACAAAAUCAGCGCCCUUAAAGGCACUAUUAUUGGAGAGCUUUCAACCACUUUGGAUGAUGCCAAGGAUACAUUUCGCUAAAACAGUGAUUACACUUUUGGACCAUUGCCUUGUAAAAUGGAAAACAUAAAAUAUAUGAUGGUAGUUGGAUUCUCAAGUGUGAUCAGACUCAGGCUGGAUUCCUUUGUCAAGAUUACAGGCAUGACAGAUUUGAGAAGAAUCCAGAGAAGAGAUCUGCCUCAGCCAGUAUCACCAACUACCUGGGAGACCAACCUAAAAUAGCAAUGGAGGGGAUGUGAUGCCCUGCUGGGAACCAGAAAUUUGAAUUAAAUGGAAGGUUUCUUCAAAGGGCAUGUCAAUAGCCCCCAGUUUUUUUUAAUGAAUGGGAGGUGUUCAACUGAUCCAAUUAAAAUAUGUUUGACUGCUUUCCCAGUGACUCCCCUUUCCCUCUAGAACUCUUUAGUGACUCAUCCCUACAAUAAACAUUUAGCAGAGUACAUGUGAGGAGUGAAAAAUUCUGUAGUGUAUCCCAAAACCAAUUCCAAUGCUUGUUUAGUCACUAUUUAGACUGACUAUAUUAUUACUCCCUCAAUUGGUAUAAAUAAUGACUCAGCUGCAUUUUCAAACUAAUUAAUAUUUUACUAAAUAAACCACAGCUAUGUAAUAUACAUCUAAAAGUCAAUUGAAUUUCCCUGAAAAGUAAAAGCAGUUGCUGAUAUAUUUCUUACCUUUUUUAAUAUUCCACAUUUGUAGGAAGUGUAUCUGCCAGUCAGUUUGCCUAAGUGUAAAUCAUAUGAAUGUGUGACCACCCUGGGACACACUAAUGUUAUUGAUCAUCCACACUUUCACACGUAGGCAAUUAUCACUGAAAUUAUCAGACCUUCUGAAAUCUGAGCCAUAUGCCACCAAUUCAUAAAUCAAAGCUGGAGCUGAGCAGAAAGUUGGGUGGCUCUGUACAUGGAGAUGGGAUGAUGCAUUUCUUUUGCCCUGUUACUCCUUGUGAACCCUGGGGAGGAAUACCUUUACUGUGAAGCACUUAAUUGGCUGUAUCUCAAGAAGGCCCAGCUAUGAUUUGACAUUCACUCUCUGUUAGUGGAAGGCAGUGUGAUUCAGACAAAGGAGAGAGAGCUGACAACCUCUCUCUGAGGUGUAUGAAUAAUUAAAACAAUGUUAGCUUUGUAGAUGGCUGGUAAAUAAUGAUUUACCAUGCUCAGACUGGAUGAAUUUCGUUUUUGUCUCUUGAAUGUCUAAAUAAAGAAAAAAAGAGCAUUUUAACUUCAUAUGCAUGUCAUUUCCAUUACAAAACUAACUGUACCUUGUAGUCAAUUGACAAAAAUUAAUAAUUUAUACUCAAAAGGGAUUACAUGUGAUUCCUUAAUUUCUAAUUUCAAAUUAUAGUUUCCAAAUAUAUGAGCUGGAGUUAUAAUCUAUUUCCUAAUUGUAGGACUUUUUACAGGUAAUUUACCCAUAUUGGAUAUUUUUUUUCCUCAGCUCUAAAUGAGGGCUUGGGUCAAAUUAGAGUGCCUGUAUAUUUGAAUAGCACCUGUUAUUAAGGCAGGCCUUAAAAACUUAAAAUAAUUAGUUUUUCAGUGUUUAAAGAUCAGGUGAUUUUUUUCCCUAAUAAUAAUUCAUGUUUUGUUUUUUUAAAAAACUCAAUAUCUAGUGACACUGGGACCAACAAUCAUUUGUAAGCAAGAAGCUGCUGAGCCAAUUUACAUGGGGCAUGUGCUCUCCAGCGUGCUACAGUCCGGUUGCUCCUUAUUAGAUUCCUAACACUGAGGUGUAAUGUUACUUGCCACUUAUGCAUCCCUUGCACCACUAUGUUUUUCUAUAGCUGAUCUGCUUUACUUGUUUAUAUUCCCUGUCUGGUCGUAUAAGCUUGUGUUUGCAAUUUCUAGAACCUAAACUCAAAAAAUUAUAUGAUUUAUGACUUUAUUUCUCACGAAGGGUCAAGAAUAACUUUGCUAUACAGCAAGACAUUUUGUUAAGUCCUAAACUGUUUUUCAAAUUCUUAAAAGGCACUUUGGGUGGGUCCUGGUAACCGUAUGUGAAAGAGGCUAAUAUUUUUCUGGCAUUGGCUGGAGUCCAGCAGUUCCUAGAGGCUGUCUAUAGUUUCUUGUCAUGUGGAUUUUUCCAGAAUAGCUGAUUACCUCACCAAGCCAGCAAGGAGAGUCUCUCCCACAAGUCUGCUAAGACAGCCUUAGAAAAUUUAACCUAAUCGUGGGAGAAACCUGCUACAUCUUUGCAUAUUCUACUGAUUAGAAGCAAGUCACAAGUCCCACUUGCAUUCAGUGGGAAGGGAUUCACAAAGGUGUUAAUACAAGGAGGUGGUAAUUACUGGAGGUCAGUCUAGGGUCCAUCUGCCACAUGUAGCAAAAUACUUUUUGUUUCAGUAAACAUUUAUUCAGCACUUAACACAUAUAGCCCUCACUUGUUUAAUGAAAAAGAAAGAACACUAUAGUGAUAAACACUUUUAAAAAUAUAAAGUUGGACAAAACAGCUCCUACCUUUUAGAAAUGUAUAGUCUACUGUGAAAGUCAGAUUGACAUAUUUAUAAUUCUAUUUGUGCCCUAAAAAGUAUUUAAAAUUUUUCAAAUGUGCUUCCUAGAAUCUCUUGUAUGUUAAACUAUAUUUACUUAAGACAUGGGACUAAAUUUUUCAACAAAUUAUUUAAAGCAUGUUUGGUUCUUUUGCUUAGCUCAGUUUAUCAGACAUAUUCUUAAAGUCUUUAUCUUCUCCUUUAUGGAACAGGAAGACCAUCAGUGGAAAAAGUAAUAAACUGCCUAUAAAAAAUAAGAUGGUUUUUGUUUUCCGUAAGC